GUGAAAUCCCAAGGCUCAACCUUGGAACUGCCUUUGAUACUGGAAGUCUCGAGUCCGGGAGAGGUGAGAGGAACUGCGAGUGUAGAGGUGAAAUUCGUAGAUAUUCGCAAGAACACCAGUGGCGAAGGCGGCUCACUGGCCCGGAACUGACGCUGAGGUGCGAAAGCGUGGGAGCAAACAGGAUUAGAUACCCUGGUAGUCCACGCCGUAAACUAUGGAUGCUAGCCGUUGGGGAGCUUGCUCUUCAGUGGCGCAGCUAACGCUUUAAGCAUCGCGCCUGGGGAGUACGGUCGCAAGAUUAAACUCCCAAGGAAUUGACGGGGGCCCGCACAAGCGGUGGAGCAUGUGGUCUAAUUCGAAGCAACGCGCAGAACCUUACCAGCUUUUGACAUGCCCGGUAUGAUCGCCAGAGAUGGCUUUCUUCCCGCAAGGGGCCGGUGCACAGGUGCUGCAUGGCUGUCGUCAGCUCGUGUCGUGAGAUGUUGGGUUAAGUCCCGCAGCGAGCGCAACCCUCGCCCUUAGUUGCCAUCAUUCAGUUGGGCACUCUAGGGGGACUGCCGGUGAUAAGCCGCGAGGAAGGUGGGGAUGACGUCAAGUCCUCAUGGCCCUUACAGGCUGGGCUACACACGUGCUACAAUGGCGGUGACAAUGGGAUGCGAAAGGGCGACCUCGAGCAAAUCUCAAAAAGCCGUCUCAGUUCGGAUUGCACUCUGCAACUCGAGUGCAUGAAGGUGGAAUCGCUAGUAAUCGCAGAU
rnacentral:rRNA from 1 species